rnacentral:lncRNA from 1 species
CGGUACACAGUACGGUGCUAUAAAUACGCGCAGAGCGCGACCGCCAGCAACUCGAGAGACCUUUUCAGCGGUCAGCUGCUACAGUGAGCGACUGCUACACUCAUUCCAAAACUUCUUAGGUACUGAAGAAUCCACCAGCAUCAUCCUAACCUUAUCCAACAAAGUACGGUUUAACCUUUCCGCUUUACCUAAACUAGGUACUGAAGAAUCUACCAACAUCGUCCUAACCUUAUCCAACAAAGUACGGUUUAACCUUUCUGCUUUACCGUUCUGUUGGGAGGUGUACGGGGCGGAUUAUUCAUGCCUAAUACCCCGUUGCUUGCAAAAUUCCUUUAUUUUUGCGUUCACGAAUUAACCCCCUCCAUCAGUUCGCAUGCCCUGUAAAGUAGAGCCACUUUGCACUUUUAACAAAUUUACGCCCCUCUCAAUGAAGUCCGGGACAUCAGACUUAUGCUUAAUGGGCUGAACUAACGACACUCCAGUAUAGUCAUCCAACAGAGUAACGAAAUACCUAUGGCCACUCGAGGACACAGGCAAAGGACCACAUACAUCCAAAUGCACCAACUGCAACGGUCUCUUAGUUACUGUUGUAGAUGUGGGAAACGGAUCGCGGCUAAAUUUUCCCACCAAACAAGGCUCGCAAUUCCUAACCUCGAAAGCUCUUAAUUGAGCGGCGCAAAAAUUCAAGCCCUUAAGCAAUCCCUCCUGCACCAACCUCUUCAUGUUUGAAAUUCCCAAGUGACAAAGAUGUCGGUGCCACAGCUCCGGCGUCUCAGUAUCUAGGGCCUUUGCGGAGAAGGAAGGGAUGACAGGCUCAGCAGGCCUGGAGGACUCUGCAGCGGGUAUAGCACUACUCAUGAAUCUGUAAAGGCCUUACUCAGAUUUAGUAGCAGAGAUAUGCAGGCCUCCCCUUGAUAUAAUCGCCUGCAUGUUCUUGAAACUAACUCUAAAACCCUUGUUCGUCAGGACUGAAACAGAGAUUAAGUUGUGCUUAAAGUUAGGCACACAGAAAACUCCCUCAAUAGUGAUGUUAGGGGCAUGGGUCGGCACCACAUUCCCGUAACCCUCGGCCUGCAGCACGUUCCUUGUUCAUGAUCGAUAAAUCCGAAUCAAUCCUACAGUAGUCAUGAAGGAUACUCUGGUCGCCCGUAAUGUGGUAUUUGCUGCCGGAGUCCAACCACCACGGGUUCUCAGGAUACUGCGCAACUACCCUUUGAAUCCUCUUGAUAAAAGGUGCCCGCCCCAAAGCUACGGACGCGCUCCUAGGCGGAUUACGCAUGUAGUAAUCUAAACUCUCCUCAUCUCUCGUCUGCUGGGGAACGAAUUGCUGCUCUCGACCCACCAGCAUCAGCACAACAACCUCCAGUUUCCGUUUGGCACUCCUAGGCAAGCCCUGCCACUUACGAUAACACUUUUCGGACAGGUGACCCGUCUUCCCACACCAAUCACACCGCAACUCUGACCCACCGUGCGAGCGACCCGAGCCUGAGGGACCAGAAGCGCUAACCUUCUUAGAGCAGUCCCUCGUGUAGUGGUUGCCGCCACAAACGAAGCAGCUAACCCUAAGGCCACCGUGUCCGGCGUAUAACGCCGUUGCUAUGCCUGGCUCGGUCCUCCUUGCAGUUAGGCGAUUGGCCUCCAUGGCCAAGAGCUUCUCCUUCAGCUCCAGGAAGUUCUUCGGGUAGGCGGACGUGACAAAAACUCUCUUCUCUGAUUUAUACAAGGCAUCAGGCAGGCCACGAACAACUAGCACAAUCACAUUUUUCUCCGAAAUGCGGAAAUCUUUAUAUCUAUUUAGCUUCUCGUACAUAUUGACCGCGCGGGUCACAUAGUCGUGCACCCUUUCGUCAUGGUGCAUCAUGAUGGAGUGGAAAGAUUGUGAUACCGCGCUCAACUCAGCCUCAUUUAAUUGCCCGGCCCACUGCUCAAGGCCCGCCCAGAGAUCCUUAGCUUCGGUGGUUGACUCGAUAAGAAUCUUAUGGUCGACGGAUGCAAGCCAAAGGAUUAUUAGCGCCCGAGCCUUCCUUAUCUUUCUCAUCUCCUUCUCCUGCUCCGUAGGAUCGGCGGGUAGAUUGUAGUCCUGGGUGACGACUGACGCCAGGUCCUCACACUCCAAGAUGGCCUUCAUCUUGAUGAACCAGUCGGCCGAGUUGGCGACCAUCAGCACAUCUCUCCAACCAGCAAUGUCGGACAUUCUCUCAGAAUCACGUAUGACUCAAAAUUGGAAUUUGAAGGUACGAGCUCAACAAAGCGUACGAUCACUGCAGCCACCGCAACGUCAAGCGGGGCUCAUAACCUGUUGUGACUAUUCGUAAAUAGCCAGAAAUAGCUGACACAAGAUCCAGUUAAGCACAAGCUGGAUAAGCGAGCUGACACUAUGCCCUAACUCGAAGGACACUCCAAAGUCCCAGUGAGCAACAGUUGUUACAAUCAGCUUGAUAAUGAAGUCUUGCCUCAGGGUACAAAUAGUACCAAUAGAUCAAGUUCGUACGAUAAGACCCAACUAGCAAUCACACCAAUCGUAGUACAAAGCUUAUCGCGACGACGAGCUAUAAAAGACAACAACCAUAAUCCUAAGAAGUCUGACCGGAAUUAAAACAGUGGGCACAUCGGGAUCAGGGUUUUUCAGAAAACUUAGCUGCUGCUGCACGCUCUGCUGCAUUGGCAACCAUUGAGCGACGGAGUUUCUCGUAAUACUCCAUGCCGCGGCCGGGACGCUUCCGAGGCCGCUUGGGCGGUGGGGACCUUGCCCAGUUAUCAAGCGUAUCUGUUUAUUUUCGCACAGGCCGGGCUACACCCCGUGGAUUGUCAGCACGGGUUCUAUGAGAACGGGAGGUCCUUGGAAGGUUUAUUCGUUGCUGCUGCUCGAUAGAACGAAGAAGUCUGUACGCAAACAGCGUGUUUGUAAUUACUACUAUUAUAAUAAUAGAAAUCAGGUUAGGGUUGCUGGGGUACUAUAAUUUUGCCGUGCGACAAGCCUGAAGAUUCAAAAAGCGCGUGCACAGGAGAACUUCUUAAGAACAACCUAUUCGUACUCCAAUUGAUUGUUUUGCUGCAAUUGCGUGUAAGGUGCAACGCCAUUUUUCCACUCAAUGAGUGGACAUCGGUGUCCACUCCGGGAGUGGACGUACAUUCCCAGGGUGAGCUGGUGCGCGUGUCCAUUACUCCUAGCCACCUUUUUGGAUGCUUAUUAAUCAAGCAUAGAUAUUCAUAGGAUAUUCUAUGAACAUCCAUUUGAGCAACGUUUAUA